rnacentral:rRNA from 1 species
UGGGGAAUAUUGCACAAUGGGCGAAAGCCUGAUGCAGCGACGCCGCGUGAGGGAUGACGGCCUUCGGGUUGUAAACCUCUUUCAGCAGGGACGAAGCGCAAGUGUCGGUACCUGCAGAAGAAGCGCCGGCUAACUAAGUGCCAGCAGCCGCGGUAAUACGUAGGGUGCAAGCGUUGUCCGGAAUUACGGGGCUUAAAGAGUUCGUAGGCGGUUUGUCGCGUCGUUUGUGAAAACCAGCAGCUCAACUGCUGGCUUGCAGGCGAUACGGGCCGGCUUGAGUACGGCAAGGGGGACUGGAAUUCCUGGUGUAGCGGUGAAAUGCGCGGAUAUCAGGAGGGACGCCGGUGGCGAAGGCGGGUCUCUGGGCAGUAACUGACGCUGAGGAACGAAAGCGUGGGUAGCGAACAGG